CCUGACAAAAACUUCCGGAAGACCAAAUUUAUCAAACAAACAAUAACAAACAGUUAAUAACAAUUCAAUCUUAGUAAAUCAUGAGAACAAAUUCAAAAAUUAUCAAAGAAUAAUAUCAUAUAAAAGGGGAUGAUGAAGACAUUCUUUAUCCGAACAUCAGAACAUGACCCGGUUCAACAAAUCAGCACAGGCACUGUGCAGAUAGAGAUACUUGACAGAUGGUAUGCUACUAAGAGAAGUCAUGACUAAUCCCCUUCUGGAAAAAUACAAAGUGAUUUUUUUUGAUGCGGCUCUUGAAAGAACUUUGGCUCCCGAUAUUUCAGUACCAUAGUGGCUGAUGAAAACAUGCUUACUGAAUGAAAUGGAGUGGAGCUUCCGGUUAAGAAUUAUGGUACAAGACAAGGGCUUAAUGUUUGUUCCAGGAAAUGGAUCUUGAUUACCAUGUUGGAUGUAGCCUUGAAGAUUGAAGAUAAUAGAGAAUAUAAAUUGUAGGAAUGGAUGUGCUUUGUAGUUUAGAGAUCUGCAGUUUUAAUGUCCACAUGCAAUUUUCAGUGAUUUCUACAACCUUCAUGGAUUAAUUCUAAGUUCAUGCCGAAGGGCCAAGAAAAAGAAAGCCAAGCAAAGAUCAAAUGCUAAAUGACAAUGAUGGACUCAAUGACUGAUGAUGACAUUAAGUUGAAGAUAUGAUAUCAAAAGGUAUGUUACAAAUGAAGAAAGGAUGAUGGAGAUGGCCAAGAAGAAGAAAGGACUGUGAGCCAUGCUUUUCUUUUUCAGAAAGGACUGCCCAAUUAAACACAUGUAUGCGAUCUGGUGGGCUAUUAAUGAGAACAACUUCUGCUGAUCAGUUUGUUGAUUUCAUUCAGAACCUUGACAUCAACUCAAAAAUGAACAACACUAUUAAAGCUUUUGGUCGAUGGUAGGGGUUGCAAAACCAUAGAAAGUCAAUGUUCUGAAAGUUCAUUAUGGUCAAUGAAGCUUAUACGAUUCACAUUUUAACUCUAGAAAUCUGAAUAUUUAUUAAUUUAUUUUUACUGUAACCCUGUAGUUUGAUAGCUUUAUACUUUGUUUUUUGAAGUUACAGAAUCACCAACCUCGAUCACUUAUUGAA